rnacentral:rRNA from 2 species
AGAGUUUGAUCAUGGCUCAGAUUGAACGCUGGCGGCAGGCUUAACACAUGCAAGUCGAGCGGAGAUGAGGUGCUUGCACCUUAUCUUAGCGGCGGACGGGUGAGUAAUGCUUAGGAAUCUGCCUAUUAGUGGGGGACAACAUUCCGAAAGGAAUGCUAAUACCGCAUACGUCCUACGGGAGAAAGCAGGGGAUCUUCGGACCUUGCGCUAAUAGAUGAGCCUAAGUCGGAUUAGCUAGUUGGUGGGGUAAAGGCCUACCAAGGCGACGAUCUGUAGCGGGUCUGAGAGGAUGAUCCGCCACACUGGGACUGAGACACGGCCCAGACUCCUACGGGAGGCAGCAGUGGGGAAUAUUGGACAAUGGGGGGAACCCUGAUCCAGCCAUGCCGCGUGUGUGAAGAAGGCCUUAUGGUUGUAAAGCACUUUAAGCGAGGAGGAGGCUACUGAGACUAAUACUCUUGGAUAGUGGACGUUACUCGCAGAAUAAGCACCGGCUAACUCUGUGCCAGCAGCCGCGGUAAUACAGAGGGUGCGAGCGUUAAUCGGAUUUACUGGGCGUAAAGCGUGCGUAGGCGGCUUUUUAAGUCGGAUGUGAAAUCCCCGAGCUUAACUUGGGAAUUGCAUUCGAUACUGGGAAGCUAGAGUAUGGGAGA